UUAAAGCGCGGUCAAAGUAGUGCCAGUGUGGCUGGAGGAACGGGCCACAGGGGAGUAGGGAAGAGUCAACCCCUGGAAGGUCUGCAGUGAAGGGCAAACUACGCCUUUAGUAUAAAUAUCCACAAACCUUGAAAAUCAACCGGUGAUGGAGUCAGGGCCGAUUUGUUGCUGUUCUAUAUAAUAUAAAUAAUAGAAUUUAAAUAAAAAUUAAUAAAGUAAAGUACAUCUGUUGAAUGGGGAAGAUUCCUUUCUUUAGUAGUAAGGUUCUUACCGCUAAUAGAAAAACCUUUAAAAGGUCGUGAAAGUUAGAGGAGUUGACUCCAAAAGAACUCAUUUUUAUGGAAGAAUCGGACAAAGAGGGUGGUGAGGAGCUCCCGCUUUGAAAACUCUGAUAGCUGGCCUCAGGUUCUAGAAAACUCUGCACUUCAGGAGGCAAGUUGAAGUUGUUAUCACAUGGAAAUUGUUCAGAAAUUUG